rnacentral:rRNA from 1 species
GAUGAACGCUGGCGGCGUGCCUAAUACAUGCAAGUCGAGCGAACAGAUGAGGAGCUUGCUCCUCUGACGUUAGCGGCGGACGGGUGAGUAACACGUGGAUAACCUACCUAUAAGACUGGGAUAACUUCGGGAAACCGGAGCUAAUACCGGAUAAUAUAUUGAACCGCAUGGUUCAAUAGUGAAAGACGGUUUUGCUGUCACUUAUAGAUGUAUCCGCGCCGCAUUAGCUAGUUGGUAAGGUAACGGCUUACCAAGGCAACGAUGCGUAGCCGACCUGAGAGGGUGAUCGGCCACACUGGAACUGAGACACGGUCCAGACUCCUACGGGAGGCAGCAGUAGGGAAUCUUCCGCAAAGGGCGAAAGCCUGACGGAGCAACGCCGCGUGAGUGAUGAAGGUCUUCGGAUCGUAAAACUCUGUUAUUAGGGAAGAACAAAUGUGUAAGUAACUAUGCACGUCUUGACGGUACCUAAUCAGAAAGCCACGGCUAACUACGUG